CAUUAUCAAUGUACAGCAAGUCUUCGCAGUAGGAAAAAGAGAACUACAGAAGGAAAAGCAGCCAGGCUCCGGAGAUGGAUUACCGCAACCAAGAUCUGUCCCCGUUUGAAGAUUACAAUGUCUAUGAUAACUUUGCGUUCACCCCAGAGGAAGAUGACCCUGCGUCUAGCAUGGAUUUACAGCUUGGAGCAGAUGGCCCCGUGCUCGCUCGAUUUGGAUUUCCGUCACUAGGAGAAGAAGACAUCUCGCCGCACCAUAUUAACUGGCAAGUACAGGGAUAGGGUCAUAAGCCUUCGAUUUUAGUCUAAACAAGGCUAGAGAUAUGUACGUAUCUAAACUAUCCAAAGUCUAUCAGGGCUCUUUGGAGCCGAAUUGCAUUUCAGACUAUUAUGCUAAAAAUAAAUAUUACUAUAUCACUAAGAAUAUCAUAGUACACGCACAAAUGCAUCCAU